rnacentral:rRNA from 1 species
UUUAGAGGAAGUAAAAGUCGUAACAAGGUUUCCGUAGGUGAACCUGCGGAAGGAUCAUUAUUGAAAAAAAGUGGGAGGGUUGUUGCUGGCUUUUCGRGGCAUUGUGCACACCUCCUUCUCCUUUGCCACCUGUGCACCUUUGUAGAYCCAGGGAAAAAGGGUAACUCUUGGUUAUUGAGGUUUGCUGGUCUGAAUGAUCAGCUUUCCCUUGCCUUGUCUUUCUGGUGUCUAUGUAACUUUGUUAUUAAACACAAGUUUAGAAUGUCAAUAAGAAAAAAGGUGCUUCGUGUUCCUUUUGAAAUUUAUAACAACUUUCAACAACGGAUCUCUUGGCUCUCGCAUCGAUGAAGAACGCAGCGAAAUGCGAUAAGUAAUGUGAAUUGCAGAAUUCAGUGAAUCAUCGAAUCUUUGAACGCACCUUGCGCUCCUUGGUAUUCUGAGGAGCAUGCCUGUUUGAGUGUCAUUAAAAAUUCUCAACCACUCUUGGCUUCUUUUUGUUAGCUGAUGGGAUGGCUUGGAUUGUGGGGGCUUUGCAGGCUUUUUUUCACAGAAAGUUGGCAUUCCCUUAAAUGCAUUAGCAGAUGACCUUCGGCUAUUGACCGUCUCUGGUAUGAUAACUAUCAUCUAUGCCAUGACCGUUGCCUUGAAGGCUCAGCCUGCCAACCGUCAUUUGAAAUGUGACGGUCUUUUUGACAUCUGACCUCAAAUCAGGUAGGACUACCCGCUGAACUUAAGCAUAUCA